CAAUAGCGUAUAUUAAAGUUGUUGCAGUUAAAAAGCUCGUAGUUGGACUUCUGCGGGUGGCGGCCGGUCGUGCUCGAAACGGGCGUGAACUUGGCGUGCUGCCCGCAUCUUUGGGGAGAUUGUGCGUGGCAUUAAGUUGUCGUGCAUGGGAUUCUCAUCAUUUACUGUGAAAAAAUUAGAGUGUUUAAAGCAGGCCUUUGCCUUGAAUACAUUAGCAUGGAAUAAUAAGAUAGGACCGUUGUCUAUUUUGUUGGUUUACAGAUGUCGGUAAUGAUUAAUAGGGAUAGUUGGGGGUAUUCGUAUUCAGUUGUCAGAGGUGAAAUUCUUGGAUUUUCGGAAGACGCACGACUGCGAAAGCAUUUACCAAGGAUGUUCUCAUUAA
rnacentral:rRNA from 1 species